rnacentral:lncRNA from 10 species
UGUCUAUUGGGUUUCUGGUCAUGAAUUGGCCCUUUUUAUGAAUGAGAAAGUGAUGCAGUUGUUACCGUAUUUAUCUUUACAGUGAGUUUGUUAACAGAACAUAAAUACAGACACAUGAAAGUGAAUUCUCUCUGUUGCCUAUGCUUGAACCAGUUGUCCAGCAAUCCUUCCCUCUGUAUGGUACAAAGAAUGCCUCACUCUCUAUGAUUCCAGGGACUUCUAGAGAUGAUAUACUUUAAAAGUCUGACAUAGUGGUGGCCGUGGAUGGUUUGCUUGAUAAAAGCCAGGCACCUCCCCACCCUUGUUGCCAGGAAGGGUACAAAAUGAGGAAAGUAGCGCUCUUCAUUAGUGCUUUAUUGGAUUGGAGAUAGGUAUCAAAAGAGGGUGACACAAUCCUCCCUAAAACAUUCGCUCAGUGUUUCCAUCCAUUUUUUGCUGCUCAAUAUUCUUGUGUGUACUGGAUUCAUACCAGAGAUGUAGACACUGUUUCUUCCCUCUCUCUCUCUCUCCUCUCUCUGUCUUUCUCAUCCAAAUCCAUCCUUGAGUAGUAAGCAAGAAGUCAGUGAUCCAUCCCUAGGAGCAGAAGAAUGGGCGUGGGUGUUCUCAGAUUAUGUAUCUGGAGAGUUUUUUUCUGAUGAGCAUCACCUAGUCAGUACUUCACAAAGUGUGAUCUGAGGACUGUGUGCAUCAGAUCCCUGAAGAUGCUGAUUGAAGGGCUUGAUCUCCCUGCUGGCUUGGCAUUCUGGGAAGGAGCACUGACAUCUACAGUUUUGUCAGGCUCCCCGGAUGAUCCUGCUUCCUGCCGAGGUUGGAGGGCCUCUGGCCCUGACUUCUGACCUGGUGGCGCCUUGGCUCACUAGAGGGCACCAUGGAACAAUGUUUUUUCUGGCUGCGGGCUUCCUGUUCCUGCCAACCCACCAGGGAUGCGGUGCCCACAUAGUUCUGGGCUACAGCUUCCAAGCCCAUCCUGGAACCACAGUUUCCUUUAAGAAACUUAGUGCAGUUGCCACAUCACCAAACAGAUCUAGUAUUCAUUUCCACAAUGGCACUAUAAUAAAUUCAAUUUCUAAAGAAAAAUUAGAGUUUAAGUUAUCUCGUGUGUAUUCAUUAAACACAAAUUGUGUACUGCAAAAGCAUUAGGUAUCAACAGGAUUAAUAAAAGAAAACAUCCUUCCUACUAUCAAGAAAAACAGCUUUCACUUUGCUCACACAUCAAAAUGUAAAACUCUUAAUCAGGCCUCUCGUCCUUAUCUACAUGUUAGCUGAGAAGCAGGUGAUGGCA